GACAGAGGUGCCGAGCGUUAGGCGGAAUCACUGGGCUUAAAGCGUGUGUAGGUGGAUGCCUAAGUACCUUGUGAAAUCCCACGGCUUAACCGUGGAACUGCUUGGUAUACUGGGUGUCUUGAGCCAGCUAGGGGCUACCGGAACAAAUGGUGGAGCGGUGAAAUGCGUAGAUAUCGGAAGGAACACCAGUGGCGAAAGCGGCUUCCUGGUCCAGCACCGACGUUCAGGCACGAAAGCGUGGGGAGCAAACAGG
rnacentral:rRNA from 1 species